rnacentral:rRNA from 1 species
AGCCAUCCUUGGGAUACCACCCUUGUAGUACUGGGACUCUAACCAUAGGCCAUGAAUCUGGUCUUGGGACACUGUCAGGUGGGCAGCUUGACUGGGGCGGUCGCCUCCCAAAAGGUAACGGAGGCGCCCAAAGGUUCUCUCAGUACGGUCGGAAAUCGUACGUAGAGUGUAAAGGCAAAAGAGAGCUUGAUUGCAAGACAUACAGGUCGAGCAA